CCUACGGGGGGCAGCAGUGGGGAAUAUUGCACAAUGGGCGCAAGCCUGAUGCAGCCAUGCCGCGUGUGUGAAGAAGGCCUUCGGGUUGUAAAGCACUUUCAGCGGGGAGGAAGGCGUUAAGGUUAAUAACCUUGGCGAUUGACGUUACCCGCAGAAGAAGCACCGGCUAACUCCGUGCCAGCAGCCGCGGUAAUACGGAGGGUGCAAGCGUUAAUCGGAAUUACUGGGCGUAAAGCGCACGCAGGCGGUCUGUCAAGUCGGAUGUGAAAUCCCCGGGCUCAACCUGGGAACUGCAUUCGAGACUGGCAGGCUAGAGUCUUGUAGAGGGGGGUAGAAUUCCAGGUGUAGCGGUGAAACGCGUAGAGAUCUGGAGGAAUACCGGUGGCGAAGGCGGCCCCCUGGACAAAGACUGACGCUCAGGUGCGAAAGCGUGGGGAGCAAACAGGAUUAGAUACCCUUGUAGUC
rnacentral:rRNA from 1 species